rnacentral:snRNA from 1 species
AUCGCUUCUCGGCCUUUUGGCUAAGAUCAAGUGUAGUAUCUGCUCUUAUCAAUUCAAUAUCUGAUAUGUCCUCUAUCUGAGGACAAUAUAGGAAAUGGAUUUUUGGGAUUAGGAGAUGGAAGAGGAGCUUGCUCCGUGACCUGGUAUUGCAGUACCUUCAGGAAAGGUGCACCCCAC